rnacentral:rRNA from 1 species
GGAGGAAUAUUGGUCAAUGGGCGAGAGCCUGAACCAGCCAAGUAGCGUGAGGGAUGACUGCCCUAUGGGUUGUAAACCUCUUUUGUUUGGGAAUAAAGUGCGGGACGUGUCCCGCAUUGCAUGUACCAUUUGAAUAAGGACCGGCUAAUUCCGUGCCAGCAGCCGCGGUAAUACGGAAGGUCCGGGCGUUAUCCGGAUUUAUUGGGUUUAAAGGGAGCGCAGGCCGUGGGCUAAGCGUGCCGUGAAAUUCUGUCGCUCAACGGCAGACGUGCGGCGCGAACUGGUCCACUUGAGUACGCGGGACGUUGGCGGAAUUCGUGGUGUAGCGGUGAAAUGCUUAGAUAUCACGAAGAACUCCGAUUGCGAAGGCAGCUGACGGUAGCGCAACUGACGCUGAGGCUCGAAAGCGCGGGUAUCGAACAGGAUUAGAUACCCUGGUAGU